rnacentral:rRNA from 1 species
UAGGGAAUCUUCCGCAAUGGGCGAAAGCUUGACGGAGCAACGCCGCGUGAGUGAUGAAGGUCUUUGGUUCGUAAAACUCUGUUAUUAGGGAAGAACAAAUGUGUAAGUAACUAUGCACGUCUUGACGGUACCUAAUCAGAAAGCCACGGCUAACUACGUGCCAGCAGCCGCGGUAAUACGUAGGUGGCAAGCGUUAUCCGGAAUUAUUGGGCGUAAAGCGCGCGUAGGCGGUUUUUUAAGUCUGAUGUGAAAGCCCACGGCUCAACCGUGGAGGGUCAUUGGAAACUGGAAAACUUGAGUGCAGAAGAGGAAAGUGGAAUUCCAUGUGUAGCGGUGAAAUGCGCAGAGAUAUGGAGGAACACCAGUGGCGAAGGCGACUUUCUGGUCUGUAACUGACGCUGAUGUGCGAAAACGUGGGGAUCAAACAGG